rnacentral:rRNA from 1 species
GAUGAACGCUGUCGGCGUGCCUAAUACAUGCAAGUCGAGCGAACGGACGAGAAGCUUGCUUCUCUGAUGUUAGCGGCGGACGGGUGAGUAACACGUGGAUAACCUACCUAUAAGACUGGGAUAACUUCGGGAAACCGGAGCUAAUACCGGAUAAUAUUUUGAACCGCAUGGUUCAAAAGUGAAAGACGGUCUUGCUGUCACUUAUAGAUGGAUCCGCGCUGCAUUAGCUAGUUGGUAAGGUAACGGCUUACCAAGGCAACGAUGCAUAGCCGACCUGAGAGGGUGAUCGGCCACACUGGAACUGAGACACGGUCCAGACUCCUACGGGAGGCAGCAGUAGGGAAUCUUCCGCAAUGGGCGAAAGCCUGACGGAGCAACGCCGCGUGAGUGAUGAAGGUCUUCGGAUCGUAAAACUCUGUUAUUAGGGAAGAACAUAUGUGUAAGUAACUGUGCACAUCUUGACGGUACCUAAUCAGAAAGCCACGGCUAACUACGUGCCAGCAGCCGCGGUAAUACGUAGGUGGCAAGCGUUAUCCGGAAUUAUUGGGCGUAAAGCGCGCGUAGGCGGUUUUUUAAGUCUGAUGUGAAAGCCCACGGCUCAACCGUGGAGGGUCAUUGGAAACUGGAAAACUUGAGUGCAGAAGAGGAAAGUGGAAUUCCAUGUGUAGCGGUGAAAUGCGCAGAGAUAUGGAGGAACACCAGUGGCGAAGGCGACUUUCUGGUCUGUAACUGACGCUGAUGUGCGAAAGCGUGGGGAUCAAACAGGAUUAGAUACCCUGGUAGUCCACGCCGUAAACGAUGAGUGCUAAGUGUUAGGGGGUUUCCGCCCCUUAGUGCUGCAGCUAACGCAUUAAGCACUCCGCCUGGGGAGUACGACCGCAAGGUUGAAACUCAAAGGAAUUGACGGGGACCCGCACAAGCGGUGGAGCAUGUGGUUUAAUUCGAAGCAACGCGAAGAACCUUACCAAAUCUUGACAUCCUUUGACAACUCUAGAGAUAGAGCCUUCCCCUUCGGGGGACAAAGUGACAGGUGGUGCAUGGUUGUCGUCAGCUCGUGUCGUGAGAUGUUGGGCUAAGUCCCGCAACAAGCGCAACCCUUAAGCUUAGUUGCCAUCAUUAAGUUGGGCACUCUAAGUUGACUGCCGGUGACAAACCGGAGGAAGGUGGGGAUGACGUCAAAUCAUCAUGCCCCUUAUGAUUUGGGCUACACACGUGCUACAAUGGACAAUACAAAGGGCAGCGAAACCGCGAGGUCAAGCAAAUCCCACAAAGUUGUUCUCAGUUCGGAUUGUAGUCUGCAACUCGACUACAUGAAGCUGGAAUCGCUAGUAAUCGUAGAUCAGCAUGCUACGGUGAAUACGUUCCCGGGUCU